AUUGAACGCUGGCGGCAUGCUUUACACAUGCAAGUCGAACGGCAGCGGGGUAGUGCUUGCACUACUGCCGGCGAGUGGCGAACAGGUGAGUAAUAUAUCGGAACGUACCGAGUAAUGGGGGAUAACCAAUCGAAAGAUUGGCUAAUACCGCAUACGUCCUGAGGGAGAAAGCGGGGGAUCGCAAGACCUCGCGUUAUUCGAGCGGCCGAUAACUGAUUAGCUAGUUGGUGGGGUAAAGGCCUACCAAGGCGACGAUCAGUAGCGGGUCUGAGAGGACGAUCCGCCACACUGGGACUGAGACACGGCCCAGACUCCUACGGGAGGCAGCAGUGGGGAAUUUUGGACAAUGGGGGCAACCCUGAUCCAGCCAUGCCGCGUGUAUGAAGAAGGCCUUCGGGUUGUAAAGUACUUUUGUUAGGGAAGAAAAGGGAAGUGCUAAUACCACUUUUUGCUGACGGUACCUAAAGAAUAAGCACCGGCUAACUACGUG
rnacentral:rRNA from 1 species